GUACCUUUCAACACAUAAUACAGGUUAUCUGAAAAGCUUGAGGCCAGAAAGGCUUUGGAUUUUGUAAUUUUCAGAUUUUGGAAUAUAUAUUAAGUUUCCUGCCUUCUGCAAAUGCACCAUCUUUGGACUGAAUUCCCUUUGGCACUUCCAUGGCCAGCUGACACCUUCCUGCAGACGAGAGCUGCCUUAUCACUGCGAGCCACUCUGCCAGUCCUGCAGCAGACAUCUUCAGCGGGUUUCCUCCCCAGAUCAUUCGUAAAUUCCACAGGAAUCACGGAGCCCAGAAAUGAAUCCUGCAGAACCACACUGCUUAGGUUUCAUGGUUACCUGGAGAAGAAGAAUUUCAAGAGACAAUAAUCAAGGGAUUAUGGUGGGAUUUAUUGUUACAGUUUAGCUCGGGUUAUACAGUUACUCGCAUGUGUGUGUGUAAUUGAUCCAGACUGUAACCGGAUGUGUAAUGAUCAGCUCUCCUGCCUGUAUGUGACUGAAUGGGUUCUCUCCCCAGAUCAUUGCA